rnacentral:rRNA from 1 species
UGGGGAAUUUUGGACAAUGGGCGCAAGCCUGAUCCAGCCAUUCCGCGUGCAGGAUGAAGGCCCUCGGGUUGUAAACUGCUUUUGUACGGAACGAAACGCGUUGGGUUAAUACCUUGACGUAAUGACGGUACCGUAAGAAUAAGCACCGGCUAACUACGUGCCAGCAGCCGCGGUAAUACGUAGGGUGCAAGCGUUAAUCGGAAUUACUGGGCGUAAAGCGUGCGCAGGCGGUUAUGUAAGACAGGUGUGAAAUCCCCGGGCUUAACCUGGGAACUGCAUUUGUGACUGCAUAGCUAGAGUACGGUAGAGGGGGAUGGAAUUCCGCGUGUAGCAGUGAAAUGCGUAGAUAUGCGGAGGAACACCGAUGGCGAAGGCAAUCCCCUGGACCUGUACUGACGCUCAUGCACGAAAGCGUGGGGAGCAAAC